UCCAGCAGGGAUCAUUUGGGAGGAUUUUUUUGGGAGGAUUUUUGGGGAGGAGAUUUUUUGGGGUGGGGAUUUUUUGGCAGGAUUUUUGGGGAGGAUUUUUUGGGAGGAGAUUUUUCGGAGGAGAUUUUUUGGAGGAUUUUUGAGGAGGAUUUUUUGGGAGGAUUUUUGAGGACGAUUUUUUGGGAAGGAUUUUUUGGAGGAUUUUUGGGAAGGAUUUUUUGGGAAGGAUUUUUUGGGGUGGAGAUUUUUUGGCAGGAUUUUUGGGGAGGAUUUUUGGCAGGAUUUUUGGGAAGGAUUUUUGGGAGGAUUUUUUGGCAGGAUUUUUGGGGUGGGGAUUUUUUGGAGGAUUUUUGGGGAGGAUUUUUGGGGAGGAUUUUUGGGAAGGAUUUUUGGGAAGGAUUUUUGGGAAGGAUUUUUGGGAGGAUUUUUGGGGAGGAUUUUUUAGGGAGGAUUUUUGGGAGGAGAUUUUUUGGCAGGAUUUUUGGGGAGGAUUUUUUGGGGUGGAGAUUUUUUGGCAGGACUUUUGGGGAGGAUUUUUGGGGAAGAUUUUUGGGAAGGAUUUUUUGGGAAGGAUUUUUGAGGAGGAUUUUUUGGGAAGGAUUUUUGGGAGGAUUUUUUGGGAGGAUUUUUUGGGGAGGAUUUUUGGGAAGGAUUUUUGGGAAGGAUUUUUGGGACGAUUUUUUGGGACGAUUUUUGGGGAGGAUUUUUGGGAAGGAUUUUUUGGGAGGAGAUUUUUUGGGGAGGAUUUUUUUGGAGGAUUUUUGGGGAGGAGAUUUUUGGGGAGGAUUUUUUGGGGAGGAUUUUUUGGGGAGGAUUUUUUUGGGACGAUUUUUUGGGACGAUUUUUGGGGAGGAUUUUUUGGAGGAUUUUUGGGAAGGAUUUUUGAGGAAGAUUUUUGGGGAGGAUUUUUGGGGAGGAUUUUUUGGAGGAUUUUUGGGAAGGAGAUUUUUGGGAAGGAUUUUUUGGGGAGGAUUUUUUGGCAGGAUUUUUUGGGAAGGAUUUUUUGGGGUGGAGAUUUUUUGGCAGGACUUUUGGGGAGGAUUUUUGAGGAGG
rnacentral:lncRNA from 1 species